CAUAUCUCACCUCACCACAUCUCAUCUAACCUCACCUCACCUUACCACAUCACACCUCACCUCCGCACACCUCACCACAUCUCACCUCACCCCACCACAUCUCACCACACCUUACCUCACCACAUCUCACCUUACCUCACUUGGUUCACCUUACCUUACCUUUAUAUACAAUCAUUCGUUAAAGCAAGUCAGUCCUGCCCAGCACCUUUCAUUGCUUUGUUUGUCUUUCUCUGUAGGAUUUAUACUUGAAAGGUACUGUAUGUUGAAUUUGAUUUCAAGAGAUAUAUUUUUUUGAAAAUUAUGAACUAAGUUACUAAGUUUGGACCAAUCAGUCAUCUAUUUUUAUGUAAUGCUUGUUGAGACUAAAUUUGUGAUUUCACUUUAGGAUUUUCCCGAAGAAUUUUGAAAUUUGUUGAAGAUGUGAAGGACUGUGAACAAAUGUCCGGAUAAUGGCCGGACAGACGGCAUAUAACUGAUCAAGUGGAUCUUGGAUUAGUGGUUUUAAAAUACUUCUGGACCCGCUACUGCGAACGGAAUACGCUCAUGACCGCAAAUGACCCUCCGAUGGCUGUGCAGUCAACAAUAGUUUCAUGUUUCUGCAAGAGAUAAUGACAGCAUCUCCAACAAACCUUCAAGUACCAUGAUUGAUGACUCUAGAAAGUCUUAAUUCAAGGUGCACUGUUAUUGAAUGACUAUUUCAAAGCCUCGAUCGAUGGCAUUACGUCUUCCGACAGGGCGCACAUUGCUAACCGCAGGAAGAUCUAUCCGUGAGAGUACAAGUAGCGCGCACACCCGCUAAACCGCUAAAUCCGCGAAGUCUUUUUAUAUGACGUCUAUACCUUCGCACAACCACCCCCUACCGCUCAGUAAAUCCUAGCUAGCGCCAGUGAGGCUAACUCGUCACAGUGCAAAGAAAAAGUUCAUAAAUGAAUGCUUCGCCCUCCGGGAUCAAUAUCGCUGCCAAACUUAAAAUACCGUACAAUUAUUAUUAUUUUUUUUAUCUUUAAUAUUAUUUGGACGUCAAUCAAUAUACAAGGACGUUGUAUACAAUUCCAAAUAAAAUCUCUGUCUGUCUCGAUUCAAA